rnacentral:rRNA from 1 species
GGAGGGCAAGUCUGGUGCCAGCAGCCGCGGUAAUUCCAGCUCCAAUAGCGUAUAUUAAACUUGUUGCAGUUAAAAAGCUCGUAGUUGAAUUUUUGCGUGGUGUUAAUAUUGACUGAUGUCGAGAUUGCACUUCGCUUUUGGGAUUUUUCCCUUUUUACUUUGAGAAAAUUAGAGUGUUUCAAGCAGACUUUUGUCUUGAAUACUUCAGCAUGGAAUAAUAGAGUAGGACUUUGGUUCUAUUUUGUUGGUUUGUGAACCUUAGUAAUGGUUAAUAGGAACGGUUGGGGGCAUUCGUAUUUAACUGUCAGAGGUGAAAUUCUUAGAUUUGUUAAAGACGAACUACUGCGAAAGCAUUUGCCAAGGACGUUUUCAUUAAUCAAGAACGAAAGUUAGGGGAUCGAAGACGAU